rnacentral:rRNA from 1 species
AUUGAACGCUGGCGGCAGGCCUAACACAUGCAAGUCGAGCGGAUGAAGGGAGCUUGCUCCUGGAUUCAGCGGCGGACGGGUGAGUAAUGCCUAGGAAUCUGCCUGGUAGUGGGGGAUAACGUCCGGAAACGGGCGCUAAUACCGCAUACGUCCUGAGGGAGAAAGUGGGGGAUCUUCGGACCUCACGCUAUCAGAUGAGCCUAGGUCGGAUUAGCUAGUGGGUGGGGUAAAGGCCUACCAAGGCGGCGAUCCGUAACUGGUCUGAGAGGAUGAUCAGUCACACUGGAACUGAGACACGGUCCAGACUCCUACGGGAGGCAGCAGUGGGGAAUAUUGGACAAUGGGCGAAAGCCUGAUCCAGCCAUGCCGCGUGUGUGAAGAAGGUCUUCGGAUUGUAAAGCACUUUAAGUUGGGAGGAAGGACAGUAAGUUAAUACCUGGCUGUUUUGACGUUACCAACAGAAUAAGCACCGGCUAACUUCGUG